GCACAAACCUUUUCACAUUUUCUGGCCGGUGCCAGGUUUGCCUUCAUUGUUGUUUUCAUUACUACAUGAUAUUAACGUUGGACAUGUGUGCAUUUCUAUCAAAAAACCAAACACACAAACAGCAUUUGACAAUAUCACAACUGGAGCUGGACAUCUUUGGAGCUGAAGAUUGAGGACAGCUUUCGUAUUCUGGCGUACACUACUUUAUGAACAGUUUUACUGGAUGGAAACACAUAGUAAUAGUUGUCUAUUUUAUUGAAGUAUUGGUGGUGGUUGAACAACAACAAUGUGUUUACUAGAGGGAAAAAACUGCAGGAAAAUACUGACAACUUAUGAAUACGCAUAACCCUUAUCUCAUAUUCCUGCAGUGAUUCAACAACAACUGUGUUUCCACCCCCCAUCAUGGCAGAUCACCGGUCAAGUCAGUCAGUCAGUAAUUGCUGCUCAAUAGUGCUUGAACAUAUGGUACUCCCCAAAGCAUGGUGAAACACAGUGGUGUGUCUCAAGCUAAACAUGAACUUUGUCAACCUCCUCUGCUUCCUUCUCCUGGUGCCAGACAGGCAGACUUUGCAGUGCCUCUGUGUGUGACUACCUUGCGCAGCAGUUUGAGGGACUUCACAGGGAAAAUGCUAUGCAGUGAGGUGUAGGGGAUUGUCUGCAGCAGGACGGCCCCCAGUGGAUGGGCGCCGAGGGGUGUGGUGCUCCUCCAGCAGCUCUCUCAUGAGGUGGUCCACCUUCCCUGUGGCCCGACAUGGUUGCUGUACGGAUAGUGGAGAAGACAUGGACGUCUCGUUUGUCUUGCCACUUUACUGCCAUCUAUUGACCGUACUCCUUGAACUAAACCUCCCUUCUCUGCAUCUUCCUGCAUACGAAUGUCGGCGUCCCCUUCCUGUUCGACCUGACUGUGCCACAAGCCCCUGUGCUGUUGGAGAGCAGAAGCUGGAAGAGUGUGGGACUGCUUUACCAAUUGUCCACAUACAAAUUGUGUCCCUUGCCGAGAUGAGGAGCCAGCAUGGUCAUCACCGUGGACCCGGACACCCCAAGCCCCUCAUAAUGUUGGAUGUCAGUGGUAGACCCUGCAUAGACUAUAAUGUCCUGGACAAAUCCUGUCUUCACGUCGCACAUAACAAAGAACUUGACCCCAAACCUGUGCCUUUUGUAGGAAAUAUAUUGAAGGAAUGCCAGCCUACCUUUCCAUAACAUCAGGGACUCAUAAAUGCAUAGCUCCUUGUAUGGCACAAAGACCCAACCAAAUGCUGAUGUCAGGCUGCUCCAAGGCAAACCGAUUGGUCGUCUCUACUAUGUCUCCCACCAGCUCCUCUGUCAGAUACAACUUCAAGCACUCUGCCUCAGAGGGAAAUGGCAAGGGGAUUUGCAUUCCAGACUGGGACUCAAAGCAAACAUCAGGGCCAGGAGGGGUGAAAUGGCUGGCGGCCUUCCAGCUACCACAGACCUGCUGUACUUCAUCCACUGUCGGUCUGCAUCCAUCACCACCAGCAUCUUCAAAGGGACCUGGAACUUCAUCAGUGGACAAGGGGUUCUCAGGUUCAGGGUUCUCAAUGGCAACAAGGUUGGGGGCAGCUCCUCACUAUCAAAAUCUGAUUCCUGACUUUCAUACUCAGACUCAUUGUCAGAAUUGAUCAAAAUCUCCAGAAUUUUCGCAUUUGUGAGUUGUCUCCUUUUGAGAGAUAUUGCUAAUGCUACAGCUCAGCUCACUAGCUACAUAUAUAAACAAAAACACUGAAUUGCUCAGAGUGGGAGUGAGAGGUUACGUGAUUGACUGCCAGCACAUGCCACUUGUAUCAAUAAAUCACUAUCAGAUUAAAUAACUACCAUUUUGUGUGGUAAUUAUUUAUCUUAUUUAUCUUUGGUCUGUCGGACCAAAAAGAGCCUGGCUGAUUUUUUUUUGUGGCUGGCAGUUGGCAUGAACCAAUUUAUCGCGUAAAUUGCGACCUCUCCUCUACACAAAAAGUGGUGGAUUUUUAAAUUCAGCCUGCAAAGCUGGGUCCGAUGAUAAAAUAUUCCAGUGUUUCUUGACCACACCUGCCACUUUUCGCGAAUUCAAAGUAUAUGUAGUUGUGAACAUUACGGAGUGUUCUGUAGCUUUAGCGGGUCUUUUUUGGAACAGUUCAUCUCGUGUUUUUCCCAAUGCCAAAUAAAGAGCUUCAUCCACACAUUGUGGCGAAUAGCCUCUUAGAAACAUAUUGGCAUCUCCGCUGCUUUUUCUAGAUAAUCUUCUGUGGAGUGGCAUAUACGGCGCAGUCUGAAAAAUUGGCUUCUUGGAAGUCCUUUUUAAUGGCUCAGGAUGGAAGCUGUCCCCCUUUAAUAGAGUAUUUCUGUCUGUUUCCUUUCUAUACAGAGUUGUAAACAGGGUUCCAUUUGAUUUCUCAGUCCACAUAUCGAGGUAAUGAACACGUUGAGUGUCACGUUCAAUAGUGAAUUUGAGAUUGGGGUCAAUGUCAUUGAGUAGUGCCAUAAAACCUGACAGGUCUUUUUCAAUUCCUUCCCAUAUGCAAAAAAUGUCGUCACUAUAUCGAUACCACUUCAGGACUUAAUUCAAAAAUUGAUUUUCAUUUUCAUUAUUAACAAAACAUUCUUCAAAAAGAGCCACAUAAAGGUUAGCAUAGCUCGGAGGGAAUGUGGAGCCAAUCGAUGUUCCAUUCGUUGGGAGGUAGUAUUCAUCAUCAAACCUAAAAUAGUUAUACGUCAAAACAUAUUCAGCCAGUUCUAGAAUGAAGUUUGUUGGUGGAUAUUCAUUACUCUGUACUUUGCUCCGUUCAUCUUUCCCUAGUCUCCCAGUCCCUGCCGCUAAAAAACAUCCCCACAGCAUGAUGCUGCCACCACCACGCUUCACCAUAGAGAUGGUACCAGGUUUCCUCCAGAUGUGAUGCUUGGCAUUCAGGCCAAAGAGUUCAAUCUUGGUUUCAUCAGACCAGAGAAUGGUGUUUCUUUAGGUGCCUUUUGGCAAACUCCAAGUGGGCUGUCAUGAGCCUUUUUACUGGUGAGUGGCUUCCGCCUAGCCACUCGUGUGUAGAUGAAUGAGGAAAAAAUAUAUUUUUUAUCCAUUUUAGAAUAAGACUGCAAUGUAACUGUGGAAGUCUGUCAAAUGUGGAAAACGUUAUAGAGUCUAAAUACUUUCCAAAUGCACUGUAUCCAUCUAAUAGGGCUUUCUUUAAUGGUGGUGUACCACAGGGCAGCACUCUAGGCCCUCUAAUCUUUUCUAUAUUUACCAAUGACCUGCCACUGGCAUGAAACAAAGCCUGAAUGUCCAUGUAUGCUGAUGAUUCAACCAUAUACGUGUCAACAACCACAGCUAAUGAAGUCACUGAAAUCUUUCACAAGGAAUUGCAGUCAGUUUUGGAAUGGGUGGCCAGCAAUAAACUGGUACUCAACAUCUCUAAAACUAAGAGCAUUGUAUGUGGUACAAAUCAUUUCCUAUGCUCUGUACCUCAGCUGAAUCUGAUAAUGAAUGGUGUGGCUGUUGAACAAGUUGAUGAGACCAAAUUACUUGGUGUUACCUUAUAUUGUACAGUGUCAUGGUCAAAACAAAUAGAUUCAAUGGUUGAAAAUAUGGGGUGAGGUGUAACGGCUGUCUUCCUCCUCCUAGAAGAGGAGGAGUAGUAAGGAUCGGAGGACCAAUGCGCAGCGUGGUACGUGUUCAUGCUCUUUAAUAAAACAAUCGAACACUGAAACAAAACAAUACAAAGAAAUAACAAAAGAACUAAGGUCAGAACAUGACAGUACCCCCCCCCCCAAGGUGCGGACUCCGGCCGCAAAACCUGAACCUAUAAGGGAGGGUCUGGGUGGGCAUCCGUCCGCGGUCGCGGCUCUGGCGCGGGACGUGGACCCCACUCCACCAAAGUCUUAGUCCGCUUCAGUGGUGUCUUUAGAACGGCGACCCUUGCCACCGACCUUGGACUGGGGACCCUAAUAAAUGCCUCUGGACUGAGGAGCGGCUCCGGACUGAGGAGCGGCUCCGGACUGAAGGGCAGCUCCGGACUGAAGGGCAGCUCCGGACUGAAGGGCAGCUCCGGACUGAGGGGCAGCUCCGGACUGAGGGGCAGCUCCGGACUGAGGGGCAGCUCCGGACUGAGGGGCAGCUCCGGACUGAAGGAGCACCUGGAGGAAGGAAACGGAGAGACAGCCUGGUGCGUGGGGCUGCCCCCGGAGGUCUGGUACGUGGAGGAGGCACCGGAUAGACCGGACCGUGGAGGCUCACUGGAGGUCUCGAGCACCGAGCCUGCCCAACCCUACCUGGAUGAAUGCUCCCCGUAGCCAGGCCAGUGCGGCGAGGUGGAAUAGCCCGCACUGGGCUGUGCUGGCGAACCGGGGACACCAUGCGUAGGGCUGGUGCCAUGUCCCCCGGCCCGAGGAGACGCACUGGAGACCAGAUGCGCUAAGCCGGCUUCAUGGCACCUGGCUCGAUACCCACUCUAGCCCGGCCGAUACGAGGCGCUGCUAUGUACCGCACCGGGCUCUGCCUGCGCACCGGGGACACCGUGCGCCUCACGGCAUAACACGGUGCCUGCCCGGUCCCUCUCGCUCCACGGUAAG